ensembl:lincRNA
CGUUUAUUUAACUCAACUCAUCCAAGGUAUUACCAUUUCAGCUGGGAUCAAUGUACAGAUUAGUAAGGAGGUGCUUGAUAUUCUUCUCCCGUGCUGACUUUGAACUUGGGAGCAACUGCCCUUCACCCCUGCCUGAGGCAGUGCUGGCCCAUGUAUGGCUGGUGUCCUAUAAGCUGGGCAGUGCAGAACUAGAAAAACCCAGUGCCAAGUACCAGCGAGCGUGGGCGGAGGGACAAGGGCAGGGCCGUGUGUGGGCACUGCAUCAGAACGGAGCAGCAGGAGGCAGACCUGCCAGGCGGGGCCCUCUCCUGACCCCCCCGGAGCUCCACGCCCUGGCCUGGAGGCCUCUGCUCCUCUCUGGGGGCCUGGCCUGGGGUGGGCAGCAGCUGCGGAGGAAUUUUUGCAGCAAGAACAGCAGGACCCGCUUGAGGGACCCCCUGGGGCCAGAGGCGGGCCCUCAUCUGAGGCUGAUGUCACACCCGGCCCCCCCAACUCUCCAGUGCGGGCACUCCUAGACUUGGGAGCGGCUCCUUCCUUCCGUGAAGACCUGCGUGUGGUUCCUGGAAGGACUCCAGGUGCUUGGAAAGGAUGCCUCAGCGGGCCACCCUGGUGGGCGUGGGCCGGGGCCAGGGAGACUCAGGUCCAGGGUCCUCCCUCACCCUGGCCACCCUCCACCAGGGUGGCUGUCAACACCCCCAAGCUCACACACACACACAGAGACACACAUGCACACGUGCACACCAGGAAAUGGGUACUGGUGGCUCCGUGGGUGGCCAGCUGAGACGGAGGGGACUGGGCAGCAGCUGGGCCUCAGGCCACUGCCCCUCCCGCCCGUGGGCUCAGCCUGGCUUGGGGUUUGGAGGUGAAGUGGGACGGAGCUCGGAGCUGACCCGAGCUUCCCUGGGGAGAGGGAGGCUUCUGUAAUGAGGCUGGAACUGCCCCAUGAGGCUGGACAAGCCGGGCACCCUUGGAGAAGGCGUCCGUCCCUCUAGUGGGCGCAGGACCACCUCCGGGCCAGUGGGAGACCACGACCCUGCGUAGGACUGGCCUCCACAGACUCCUUAAGAGCCUCCACGGACUAACUCCUCUCUCGGGAAUCUGUCCUUGUGACGGGAAGUGGGUGCUUCCAGGUUUGAACUCUCACUGCCCUGGGAAGUAAGAGUUGAGUGGGUUUGGCCAAAUGGUCUGAAAACCUUGUCUAAUGACAACGCUCCAGCGUGUGAGGCCCUAAUAACUUCCAAGCAAGCACCACUUGCAGAGGGGCCUGUGUAGGGCAGGUCCGCCCCUGGCGGGGGCCUGGGCUCUCACAGGUGACCCACUCAGGGACAUCUGCCUCCCCACAAGCACUGCUGUGUGCUCGGGGGUAAGGGGCUUACCUUGCUGGGCCGUGGGUCCUGCCUGCCAUAUGAAGUGACACCUGGUCAUGGGCAGUAGGGGUGAUGGAUAAGAAAACACGCCUGCGCACAUAAAGCACCAAUUAGGUGUGUAAUCGGCGGCCAUUGGCACACCAUUGCUGUGGGUGGUCUCUCGCCUCCCUCUAACCCGGCCAGGCUCUGCAGCGUGCUGGGGGUCCCAAGGAGGGGAGAAUCUGGGGCAGAGUGGAGGGGGGCAUCAGCAUUUCCCAAGGGUCCCCUUUGCCCUCACCCCAGCCUCUUGGGUUGGCAUGGCCAUCACCCUCGAAGGAUGGAAGCUGAGGCUGGUCAUGGGUCUUUCUGCACCCAGUGCAGGUACCCUGUCAAUCUGAUGGGUGCUGGGCAGGACCCUGUCUCAGGAGAAGUUCCCUCGUGAUGGGGGGCUGACCUGAGGCUCUGGAGCCAGAAUCAACCAAGAGUUCAGGCUGGUUCCAAGGUUGGAGCCCAAGGGCAGGCACAGGGCAUAUGAACCUCAUGGUCAGAGGGACCCGAUGAGAUUUCAAGAGAAGCAACGAGGUGGGGAGGGCCAUCGCCCCAGCCUGGGUGCAGAAAGCAGGGAGGGAGGGCUUCCUGGAAGAGGAGGUAUCUGAGCCAAUGAAAGGUAAGUCAGAGCUAUCUCAGAGCAAGGAGGGGGGCAUGCAUUCCAGGGCAGUGGGAACAGCAGGUGCAGUGGGAGACAACCUUGAGUGACCUUGGGCUUCCCUCUGGGGCCCCCGAGUGGGCUGGUACCUGACUUCUCUUUUCCCACCCGUUUACUGUCAGCUAUCUAUUUUUAUUUGUCUUGAUUCCUAGUCCGGAUGAGUUGACAGCUCUCACAUCUGUCACCUUCCUCUUGCCCAAGCACACAGAGGCAGCCGGACCGCAGCUUCCUGUCUGCCUUCGCGCAGAGGAGGAGGAGUGCCAUUACCCAGCUGUGCACGCCCCGAGCCCGCGCCUCCUGGGCAGCUCUGACUCUGCAGCAGCAGGCGUCUACGCAGGCUCUUGGCACCGGGGCCACAGGUUCCCGGGUCUUCCUUCUAUCAUCCUUUCCUGCCUAGACUUUUCUUUAAGGGAGACCCUUCUUGGGGGGUGGUCUAGUUUCAGAGUGGACAUCACCUGGGCCGCCAGCCCGCUGGGGCCCUGAGACAGCCCCGGAGGCAGCGGACUGUCUUCCCUGCUUCUUUUAGAGGUCACUCGUUUCGUCUUGCAUCUGUCCUAUCUCAGCCUUUCCCUAGCUCCAGGCCACCUCCUCAGGGACCAGGGGGCUGGGGUAGUUUCUUGGUGACUGAAUUUAGGGAAGUAUCUUUACUGUAUUAUGUUAAACACAAUAGAGUUCCAGAAAUAGAUGAAACCAUCCACUUUCUCUUUUUUUUCCUGAUAAGGUGUUUACAAAGGACACGUCCAUCCAUCCUCAUAUAGAUACCCCCAGCCGCACUCACUGAAGGAGCACAGACCCAGCCUGUCCCUGCGCUGAGGUUGCUGUCCCCACACUCGGCUCUCCAGGGCUUCCUUAUAUGUGUGUGUGUUUUGUCCACGCUUAUUAAAUGACAUCAUAGUGUAUAUUUUCCUGUGACUGUUCUAUUUACUCACUAUCGGGUCAGUGAAUCACUGCUAAACAUCACCCCACUGUACAGGUGGACCCUGAUCAAUGGUCAGCGGAACCUUAUGCUUUUAUUUGUCAGCUACUCCUUGUGCACCUAGUACUUUGUGCCAGACACAGAGCUGGGCACUGGGAACCGAGAUGACAGGGUGAGAACAGCGUGCCCGGGGUCAUCCGGCCGUGAGCACCGGGCGGGAUCCGUGUCAGGGCAGAUUCCAAUUCAGCACUUGAUUGUUGUUCAGUCCCUAAGUCGUGUUCGACUCUGUGUGACCCCAUGAACUGCAGCAUGCCAGGCUCCUCUGUCCUCCAUUAUCUCCCAGAGUUUGCUCAGAUUCAUAUCCUUUGAGUCGGUGAUGCCAUCCAACCAUCUCAUUCUUCGUUGCCCCCUUUUCCUCCGACCCUCAAUCCUUCCCAGCAUCAGACUCUUUCAAUGAGUCAGCUCUUUGCAUCAGAUGGCCAAAGAACUGGAGCUUCAGCAUCAGUCCUUCCAAUGAAUAUUCAGGGUUGAUUUCCUUUAAGACUGAC